GAUGAACGCUGGCGGCGUGCCUAAUACAUGCAAGUCGAGCGAACAGACGAGGAGCUUGCUCCUCUGACGUUAGCGGCGGACGGGUGAGUAACACGUGGAUAACCUACCUAUAAGUCUGGGAUAACUUCGGGAAACCGGAGCUAAUACCGGAUAAUAUAUUGAACCGCAUGGUUCAAUAGUGAAAGACGGUUUUGCUGUCACUUAUAGAUGGAUCCCGGCCGCAUUAGCUAGUUGGUAAGUUAACGGCUUACCAAGGCGACGAUGCGUAGCCGACCUGAGAGGGUGAUCGGCCACACUGGAACUGAGACACGGUCCAGACUCCUACGGGAGGCAGCAGUAGGGAAUCUUCCGCAAUGGGCGAAAGCCUGACGGAGCAACGCCGCGUGAGUGAUGAAGGUCUUCGGAUCGUAAAACUCUGUUAUUAGGGAAGAACAAAUGUGUAAGUAACUAUGCACGUCUUGACGGUACCUAAUCAGAAAGCCACGGCUAACUACGUG
rnacentral:rRNA from 1 species